CCCACACACUCUCUCUCAUUCCCGUGCUCUCUCUCUCUCUCAGACUCACUCUCUCUCUUCUCUCUUGUACGGACACAACCAGAAGCCCUUGCAAACAUGGCAGAUAGAAGAAGAAAAUGGUACCAUUGUGUUCCUAUGGUCCUCACGAGUUCAAGGGUACCAAAUAUAGGGAAUUUAAAGGACAUAGGGAGCUUAAAGAGGUCCUUACGAAGCUCAGAGUACUUCGUUUGAAGAUUUGGACGUUGGAAUAGUGAGAACGGAAAGUUUCAAAUAUGGCCAGAAUUAUCGAGGCUUUUUCCGGCCAAUUUCCGACGAGUCGAAGGUCAAGCCAGGUCAUAGAUAGCAGAGUUUGGUGGCCACGAGGAAUCCAACGGUGUUCUGACAGAAUCCGAAAACGUAGGAUUCACCUUCGGGUGUUGUAUUUAGCAAUCGUCCCCUUGACUGCAACUAGACUAUCUUCUUACUCUGAAAGUGUAUGUAUAUACUUAAAUCCUC